UUGAUCACACUAAUACAUUUCCCAGUGCUAUUGAGUUAUCUUCGUAAUAAGUAGAAUUUUUGGCCUAGACUAUAUGUUGAGGGGAAAAAUAUUUUCUAGUUUCUCAAAGGCAUCACUACCUAUGAUAAUGGCAAUUUAUAUCACUAAAUCAGAAACUUCACAUCUUAGUUCACAGCAUCUACUUUCAGAUUUUGGAAAACUUAUGGUUUGAUUUUCCAGACACAGUGAAUAGAAACAACCUGUUUUACUUUUAAAUUUUAAGAAUUUUUCCAGACAAAUUGAGUAUAUUUCAGUACCUACAACUGUAGACAACACAAUUUUUCAGUAAUGAGGAUUGAACUCAAUGCUGUACCACUGAUCUAAAUCCCCAGCUCUUUUUAAAUUUUAUUUUGAGAUAGGAUACCACUAAGUUGACCAGACUGGUCUCCACUUGAAUCCUUCUGCCUCACCUUCCUAAGUUGUUGGAAUUAAAGGUUUGUGCCACUACACCUGCUCCUUCCUUAUGUUAUUUUGGUUGUUUGUUUGUGUGUGUGUGUGUGUGUGUGUGUAUAUAUAAAAUAUAUAUGUAUAUAUAUUAGAUGUAGAUGGACACAACACAAUGCCUUUAUUUUUAUGUGGUGCUGAGGAUCGAGUCUGGGUCCCGCCAAACUAGGCGAGCGCUCUACCGCUGAGCCACAAUCCCAGCCCCUUAUUUUGUUUUUUAAAUUUAUUUCUGUAUUUUUAUACACACACACACACACACACACACAGGAAUUGAACUCAGGGACAUUCAUCUUUUUCUUUCUUUUUUUUUAUGUGGUGCUGAGGAUCGAACCCAGGGCCUCACACCUGCGAGGCAAGUGCUGUGCUGCUGAGCUACAGCCCCAACCUCUGCCCUCAACCCUUUUUAUUUUUUAUUUUGAGACAGAGUCUUGCUAAAUUGCUCAGGGCCUUGCUAAAUUUCUACGGCUGGCUUUGAACUCCAGAUCUUCCUGCCUUGGGCUUCCUGGCCACUGGGAUUACAGGCAUGGGCUGCUACUUUGGCUCAUUUUAAUCAUGCUUAUCAGCCUUAGGAGGAUUUCAAAGCAUGUACCAAAAUUUAAUGCUCCCACAAAAGAUCAAGGAAUUUUUAAAAAGAAAGCAGUGAGAAAACAUUAGUAACAACUUUCAUCUACUACGUUCAGAAAGUUUUACUUAGUAAUUCACUAGCAGUUAUGAGUUCAUAUAUACUAGAAAUGUUAUUUCCAAUGUAGAAAUAUUUCCAGUAAUAAGAUAUGAAAUCUCAUGAAAAAUAAGAAUAGUUUAUGAUUGAUGUAUGUACAUUCCAUGUAUGUAUUAUAUGUCAAAAUACAUUCUGCUGUCAUGUAUGACUAAAAAUAGAAAAAUAAAUAAAAAAGAAAAAAACAGAAAAACAAAAUAAGAAUAGUACUUAAUAUCACUGAACUUAUACCUAAAAAUUUUUCAAUAAAUUCUACAUCAUUUAUCAUAAUUUUUUUCCAAAGUCAAAAUGAUCAUGGGAUGCAACAAAGUGUUCAGUAUGAACAUUGAAUGAAUAACUAUGGGUGGCAGUUAAUUUUUUUAUUAUUAUGAUUAUUUUUUGAACCAGGGAUUGAACCUAGGAGUGUUUAACCAGUGAAC
rnacentral:lncRNA from 1 species